UGCCCCAUGGCUGAGUUGGUUACAGCGUCCGACUGUUAUUACUUCAUACAUCGGAAGGUCGUGAGUUCGAGCCUCACUGGGGCAG